rnacentral:sRNA from 1 species
GGUGAACCUGCGGAAGGAUCAUUACCGAUGUGAAAAAUCCAAGGUUAAACAUCAUUAACCAGUGUGAACUGUACAACAACUCUUUAGGGGUCGGCACAGGCGUGUGUCGUUAAAUGGCGGAUAGGUUCCUUCCGCCAGCCCCGCCAUUGUGUUUAUGAUAUCACUUUGAACGUUUAAGACUGAGAACGUAUGUAUCAUGCAUGAAAUGUAUGAGAAGGAAGGAAAGAAAAAUGAGAGACAACUUUUGACGGUGGAUCUCUUGGCUCACGUAUCGAUGAAGAACGCAGCCAGCUGCGAUAUGUAGUGUGAAUUGCAGAAUUCAGUGAAUCAUUGAAUCUUUGAACGCAAAUGGCGCUCUUGGGUUCUCCCAGGAGCAUGUCUGUCUGAGUGUCGGAUUUUAUCGAACGCACUCGUGAGUGCGGUAUUGAGGUGUCACGGCGUGUUAGCAAGCAAGCAUUAAAUCGCCGUGUCCCUUGAAGGACAGCAGCAUUGGACUCGCAUUCUCUAUUGAAACUUGAGUGCGAAGGCUAAAGAUAAUAUUUUCCUUCGCCCAAACAUGCAAUAGCAGAAACAAAAUCCAAUCAAAGCGGUGACAGACAAUGACAACAUCAAAUCUUGACCUCAGAUCAGGCAAGGCUACCCGCUGA